rnacentral:rRNA from 1 species
UACGGGGGGGGCAAGCGUUGUUCGGAAUUACUGGGCGUAAAGGGCGCGUAGGCGGUGCUCUAAGUCGGAUGUGAAAACUCUGGGCUCAACCCAGAGCCUGCAUCCGAAACUGGAGUGCUAGAGUUCUGGAGGGGGUAGCGGAAUUCCUGGUGUAGCGGUGAAAUGCGUAGAUAUCAGGAAGAACACCCGUGGCGAAAGCGGCUCUCUGGAACGGUACUGACGCUGAGACGCGAAAGCGUGGGGAGCGAACAGG